rnacentral:tRNA from 1 species
ACAUCCAUGGCUGAAUUGUUAAAGCGCCCAACUCAUAAUUGACAAAUUCAUAGGUUCAAUUCAUGUUGGAUGCA